UGGGGAAUCUUGCGCAAUGGGCGAAAGCCUGACGCAGCCACGCCGCGUGAGGGAUGAAGGCUCUCGGGUUGUAAACCUCUUUCAGCAGGGACGAAAAUGACGGUACCUGCAGAAGAAGCUCCGGCCAACUACGUGCCAGCAGCCGCGGUAACACGUAGGGAGCGAGCGUUGUCCGGAUUUAUUGGGCGUAAAGAGCUCGUAGGCGGUUCGGUAAGUUAGGUGUGAAAGCUCGAGGCUCAACCUCGAGAAGCCACCUAAUACUGCUGUGACUUGAGUCCGGUAGAGGAGUGUGGAAUUCCUGGUGUAGCGGUGAAAUGCGCAGAUAUCAGGAGGAACACCUACAGCGAAGGCAGCACUCUGGGCCGGUACUGACGCUGAGGAGCGAAAGCGUGGGGAGCGAACAGG
rnacentral:rRNA from 1 species